rnacentral:rRNA from 1 species
GUCAGCUCGUGUCGAGGGAUGUUGGGUUAAGUCCCGCAAAGAGGGCCACCCUUGUCCUCAGUUGCCCGCAACUUACGGUGGGCACUCCAGGGAGACUGCCGGUGACAAACCGGAGGAAGGUGGGGACGACGUCAAGUCAUCAUGGCCCUUACGGCCAGGGCUACACACCUGCUACAAUGGGGCAUACAAAGUGCUGCCAAGGCGUGAACAGGAGCUAAUCCCAAAAAAUGCGUCGUAGUCCGGAUUGGAGUCUGCAACUCGACUCCAGAAGUCGGAAUCGCUGUAUUCGA